AUUGAACGCUGGCGGCAUGCCUUACACAUGCAAGUCGAACGGUAACAGGUCUUCGGAUGCUGACGAGUGGCGAACGGGUGAGUAAUACAUCGGAACGUGCCUAGUAGUGGGGGAUAACUACUCGAAAGAGUGGCUAAUACCGCAUGAGAUCCACGGAUGAAAGCAGGGGAUCGCAAGACCCUGUGCUACUAGAGCGGCCGAUGGCAGAUUAGGUAGUUGGUGGGAUAAAAGCUUACCAAGCCGACGAUCUGUAGCUGGUCUGAGAGGAUGAUCAGCCACACUGGGACUGAGACACGGCCCAGACUCCUACGGGAGGCAGCAGUGGGGAAUUUUGGACAAUGGGCGCAAGCCUGAUUCAGCAAUGCCGCGUGCAGGAUGAAGGCCUUCGGGUUGUAAACUGCUUUUGUACGGAACGAAAAGCCCUGGGUUAAUACCCUGGGGUCAUGACGGUACCGUAAGAAUAAGCACCGGCUAACUACGUGCCAGCCGCCGCCGUAACAC
rnacentral:rRNA from 1 species